rnacentral:rRNA from 1 species
CCUACGGGAGGCAGCAGUGAGGAAUAUUGGUCAAUGGGCGGGAGCCUGAACCAGCCAAGCCGCGUGAGGGAAGAAGGUACAGCGUAUCGUAAACCUCUUUUGUCAGGGAACAAAGGCGGGGACUAGUCCCCGGAUGAGGGUCCCUGAAGAAAACGCAUCGGCUAACUCCGUGCCAGCAGCCGCGGUAAUACGGAGGAUGCGAGCGUUAUCCGGAUUUAUGGGGUUUAAAGGGUGAGCAGGCGGCCUGUUAAGUCAGCGGUAAAAGCCCGGGGCUCAACCCCGGCGAGCCGUUGAAACUGGCGGGCUGGAGUUGGAGAGAAGUACGCGGAAUGCGCGGUGUAGCGGUGAAAUGCUUAGAUAUCGCGCAGAACCCCGAUUGCGAAGGCAGCGUACCGGCUCCACACUGACGCUGAGGCACGAAAGCGUGGGUAUCGAACAGGAUUAGAUACCCCAGUAGUC